rnacentral:rRNA from 1 species
AACGAACGCUGGCGGCAUGCCUAACACAUGCAAGUCGAGCGCCGUAGCAAUACGGAGCGGCGCACGGGUGAGUGACGCGUGGGAACCUGCCCAGAGGUUCGGGACAACCGCGGGAAACUGCGGCUGAUACCGGAUGAUACCUGAGGGUCAAAGAUUUAUCGCCUUUGGAGGGGCCCGCGUCAGAUUAGGUAGUUGGUGGGGUAACGGCCUACCAAGCCUGUGAUCUGUAGCUGGUCUGAGAGGAUGACCAGCCACACUGGGACUGAGACACGGCCCAGACUCCUACGGGAGGCAGCAGUGGGGAGUAUUGGACAAUGGGGGCAACCCUGAUCCAGCAAUGCCGCGUGGGUGAUGAAGGCCUUCGGGUUGUAAAGCCCUUUCGGCGGGGACGAUGAUGACGGUACCCGCAGAAGAAGCCCCGGCUAACUUCGUGCCAGCCGCCGCAGUAAAAC